GAAGAAGAGGAGGAGGAGGAAGAAGAAGAAGAAGAGGGAGACGGGAAGAAGAUGUCGCUCGAUUCGAACAAAUCAUCUCAGGGGUAUUGUUCCUGCUGCAGUUUGGGGUUUGAGUGAUUGAUUUGAGGACGUUGAAGUUCAAUUGCUUUGGGAGUCAUUUCUGUUGAGAAGGUGAGCCUCUGUCUAUUUAUAUUCAAAUAUGUAAUACAGUAAUAGUGCCCUAUGUACUAUUACUGAUACUCAAAUACAUCCAAAACUCUUUCCUUCUGAAAUUUGAACCUUAAGUACAGAACUGCUAUAUUCAUCCAUUGUUAUUCAGUUUUUCUUGCAUUAGUAAAGACUUGGGGGGAGAGACUGAGAAAAAAGACAUAAACGAUUAGCAUCAAAGUGAUCAAAGGGAAAAAUAUUGGUCAUACAAUAUGCGGGUUCUGACCACUAAUAGGAAUGAAGUUGUUUCCAUUACUCGAAGACAAGCUUAAUUAUUUGAAUGAUGUACUUGAGUAUCAGUAAUAAUACAUAAUAUAUAUAUAUAUAUAUAAUUUUUUUUUUCUAGAAACUCCGAGGUGUUUAAUGGAUUUAGGAUGGAGGUUUAGAUAAGCUAACUAUACUUUCACUACUAUUGUUCUUUCAAUUGGAUGAUUUACUGUUGUUAGUUUUGAAAUGAUAUUAAUUUUUAUGUUCUAUAUACUUUAUUUGUUCUAUAGUUUCAAAUUUAGGUAAUUGACUGCGACAGCUUCAAGGUAUGAAUCUAAUCAUGGGAUGAAUAAUAGAAUGCUGUAAUUGCUUUGGUUUCUUGAGUUAGUGUGAAAAUGUUCAAAUGGAUAAACCUAGGAAAGGAUAGGUUGUUGUAAUUGCUUCGGUUUUUUUUUUUUUUUGGUGAAAAAUGUAACAAAGUUUUAGUCUUUCAAUUCCAUUUAUGAUGUCAAAAUGUUAUAGUUUUCAAUUUAUGUACAAAUUUGGGUUAGUUGAUGCACUUAUCUGGGUAGGUGAGAGUUUUUGUUAUUUCUUUCUUUCGUUAAUUGAAGCUCAUCUGAUUCAAUUGUUCAUGUGUGGAAUUUGGUUUUGUAACUUCUUUGUUUAUGAUUGCAGAGAUGGAGCUAUCCCUGGUCUCACUUGAAAGAAACCUCCUUAAAGGGAUGAAGAAGCCGUGAAGAAAUCAACGCUGGUCUGCGCCGAAACAUUGAAGAACGAGGCAAUCCAAGGAUCUUUUCUAGAAGCAUACUACACCACAGUAAGGACUGCUGCCUUCUUCCUUGCCUAGCAGUUUUUGGUUUCUCAACUUUCUCUCUAUUUACUUUCCUUGCUGCUGCCUCCAUGCACUUUGGCAUCCGUUACUGGUGAGUUUUGCAUUUGUUGCUUUAAAGCGGUUUCCCGUAACAUGAUCUCUCCUUCAAAAGAGAAGAACAGAGUGAAACUAAUCCAUAUUAAUAGUCUGUGAACUCUAUGUAGCAUGUUUCAGUGAAAUGAUCAAUUUUGAU